rnacentral:lncRNA from 1 species
ACUUUCUGAGUGAUAUGGUUUGGCCGUGUCCUCACCCAAAUCUAAUCUUGAAAUCCCAUGUGUUGUGGGAGGGACCCAGUGGGAGGUAACUGAAUCAUGGAGACAAGUAUUUCCUGUGCUCUUCUCAUGACAGUGGGUAAGUUUCUAUUUAUAAAUGAGAGCUGAUGGUUUUAUAAAUGGGAGCUUCUCUGCACAAGCUCUCUCCUCUUGUUUGCUGCCAUGUGAGACAUGCCUUUCACCUUCGGCCGUGACUGUGAGGCCAUCCCAGCCACAUGGAACUAUGUGCCUUGCUUCCUUCCUCUUUGCCUUCUGCCAUGAUUGUAAGUUUCCUGAGGCCUUCCCAGCCAUGCAACAUGGUGGAUCCACUCUGGAGCAUGCUCUACAGAGUCUUUUAUGGACCCAAGUGGAAGAAAAGAAGAACAACCCAGUUAUUCACAAAGAUAACUUGACUUUAGGCUCUACCAGGAACUACACCACUAGUUCUCAUGGUUUGGGGUUCUUCAGACUUGGAUUGGAAAUAUACCACCAGCUCUCCUUGGUCUCCAACUUGCCAAAUGAAGACCAUGGGACUUCUCAGCCUCAUCAUCAUGAGUAUCUGGAGAAAUUGCCACAGUAA